UGGGGAAUUUUGGACAAUGGGGGAAACCCUGAUCCAGCCAUCCCGCGUGUGCGAUGAAGGCCUUCGGGUUGUAAAGCACUUUUGGCAGGAAAGAAACGUCAUGGGUUAAUACCCGUGAAACUGACGGUACCUGCAGAAUAAGCACCGGCUAACUACGUGCCAGCAGCCGCGGUAAUACGUAGGGUGCAAGCGUUAAUCGGAAUUACUGGGCGUAAAGCGUGCGCAGGCGGUUCGGAAAGAAAGAUGUGAAAUCCCAGAGCUCAACUUUGGAACUGCAUUUUUAACUACCGGGCUAGAGUGUGUCAGAGGGAGGUGGAAUUCCGCGUGUAGCAGUGAAAUGCGUAGAUAUACGGAGGAACACCGAUGGCGAAGGCAGCCUCCUGGGAUAACACUGACGCUCAUGCACGAAAGCGUGGGGAGCAAACAGG
rnacentral:rRNA from 1 species